CCUACGGGAGGCAGCAGUGGGGAAUAUUGCACAAUGGGCGAAAGCCUGAUGCAGCAACGCCGCGUGAAGGAAGACGGUUUUCGGAUUGUAAACUUCUGUUCUUAGUGAAGAAUAAUGACGGUAACUAAGGAGCAAGCCACGGCUAACUACGUGCCAGCAGCCGCGGUAAUACGUAGGUGGCAAGCGUUGUCCGGAAUUACUGGGUGUAAAGGGAGCGUAGGCGGUGAGACAAGUCUGAAGUGAAAGCCCGGGGCUCAACCCCGGGACUGCUUUGGAAACUGCCUGACUGGAGUGCUGGAGAGGCAAGCGGAAUUCGUGGUGUAGCGGUGAAAUGCUUAGAUAUCACGAAGAACCCCGAUUGCGAAGGCAGCUUACUAAACUGUGACUGACAUUGAUGCUCGAAAGUGUGGGUAUCAAACAGGAUUAGAUACCCGGGUAGUC
rnacentral:rRNA from 1 species